rnacentral:rRNA from 1 species
AUACGUAGGUGGCGAGCGUUGUCCGGAUUUACUGGGUGUAAAGGGCGCGUAGGCGGGGGUGCAAGUCAGAUGUGAAAUCUCCAGGCUCAACCUGGAAACUGCAUUUGAAACUGCAUUUCUUGAGUAUCGGAGAGGCAGGCGGGAUUCUGUGGGUAGCGGUGAAAUGCGUAGAUAUACGGAAGAACACCAGUGGCGAAGGCGGCCUGCUGGACGACAACUGACGCUGAGGCGCGAAAGCGUGAGGAGCAAACAGGAUUAGAUACCCUGGUAGUCCACGCUGUAAACGAUGAUUACUAGGUGUGGGGGGACUGACCCCUUCCGUGCCGCAGUUAACACAAUAAGUAAUCCACCUGGGGAGUACGGCCGCAAGGUUGAAACUCAA